UACUGAGGGUGCGAGCGUUAAUCGGAAUUACUGGGCGUAAAGCGUGCGUAGACGGCUAUCUAAGUCGGGUGUGAAAGCCCCGGGCUCAACCUGGGAAUUGCAUUCGAGACUGAAUAGCUAGGGUACGGUAGAGGGAAGUGGAAUUUCCGGUGUAGCGGUGAAAUGCGUAGAUAUCGGAAGGAACAUCAGUGGCGAAAGCGACUUCCUGGACCAGUACCGACGUUCAGGCACGAAAGCGUGGGGAGCAAACAGG
rnacentral:rRNA from 1 species